rnacentral:rRNA from 1 species
GUGGGGAAUAUUGGACAAUGGGCGGAAGCCUGAUCCAGCCAUGCCGCGUGUGUGAAGAAGGCCUUUUGGUUGUAAAGCACUUUAAGCGAGGAGGAGGCUCCUUUAGUUAAUACCUAAAGAGAGUGGACGUUACUCGCAGAAUAAGCACCGGCUAACUCUGUGCCAGCAGCCGCGGUAAUACAGAGGGUGCGAGCGUUAAUCGGAUUUACUGGGCGUAAAGCGUGCGUAGGCGGCUUUUUAAGUCGGAUGUGAAAUCCCUGAGCUUAACUUAGGAAUUGCAUUCGAUACUGGAAAGCUAGAGUAUGGGAGAGGAUGGUAGAAUUCCAGGUGUAGCGGUGAAAUGCGUAGAGAUCUGGAGGAAUACCGAUGGCGAAGGCAGCCAUCUGGCCUAAUACUGACACUGAGGUGCGAAAGCAUGGGGAGCAAACAGGAUUAGAAACCCGUGUAGUCC